rnacentral:rRNA from 1 species
UACGGAGGGAGCUAGCGUUGUUCGGAAUUACUGGGCGUAAAGGGCGCGUAGGCGGUUGUGUAAGUCAGAUGUGAAAACCAUCGGCUUAACCGAUUGGCAUGCAUUUGAUACUGCACAACUUGAGUUCAGUAGAGGAGAGCGGAAUUCCCAGUGUAGCGGUGGAAUGCGUAGAUAUUGGGAAGAACACCAGUGGCGAAGGCGGCUCUCUGGACUGACACUGACGCUGAUGCGCGAAAGCUAGGGGA